UCAAGCCACUGCACUCCAGCCUGGGAGACAGAGCAAGACUCUGUCUCAAAAAAAAUACAUAAAUAAAACAAGAUAAAUCUUUUAUACACACACACACACAAUUGGCUUUGUUUCUCUGAAGAACCCUGACUAACACAGUGUCUGUCUCUGCAGUGUGGCGAGAACAGACUUAGUUUGAAAAACAAACAAAAGAAUAGGGAAGGAACUUAAUCGGCAAACAGUAACCAUAGCACUGUUCUAGAUCCUUUACAAAGAUUAGGUUAUUUAAUCAUCAUCACAAUCAUUUGCAGUAGAUACCAUUGCUAUUAUCAUAUUAUAGGAGAAAAAACUAGGGCACAGAAAGGUUAAAUAACUUGCCCCAGGUCACACAGUUUGUAAACAGCAGAGCUGGGAUUAGAACCCAGGUAAUCUAGCUCCAGAAUUUGUACUUGCAACCAGGAUGCUAUGCUGAGAAACAGAGGCUGUUUUCAAUAUCCCUGAUUUGCAAUUGCUAAUAGGCUUGAACUCCACAUUCAGUGCUCUUUCCCUUACAUGGCACUGCCUCUCAUAUAACUGUAUGCUCACUGAAGAUCCACUAUAGAAAGUUACAUCUGGAAGAACCUAAAAAUCCUCAAGGCUUCGCUCAGACCAGAGAUCAGUGCUUCUCCAAAGGAGUGUUUGAUGUUCCUGUGAAGUUUCACAGGAGACUUGCUUCUGAGGUCCGUGGCAUUGAUCUUAUUCACAGCCUUGUUCUCAUUUAUCAUGAUUCUUUAAUCAAUAGAUACUUCAGCAACUGGAACUUUGGGCUCAUAUUCAUGGAGAUGACAUUUGGCUGAGGCCAGUCUCCUUUCAGACGACCAAUACAACUCCCCUACCAGGGAGCAGAUCCAAGAUUCCUGCAGUUUCUGAGGCAUGAGCCUUUUUCUCCACAGAAGGUAAUUUUAACAGCAAGAAAAGGAGAUGGAAACACCUUGUUGAAAGCAAUACAGUGCUCUGUCGGUUCUCUGUAAGAUAUUUUCCAGAGGCUUUCUCCCCCUCCACUUCCCCUUCCGUGAGCAGGACUAUAAAAGGCAGAGAGUGCCUUCUGUCAGAAUCUGCAGCCUGGAAGAUAAUUCUCUGGGGAGACACACCAACUAACCAGUUCAGAGCACUUUCCUACCCCUGAAGCUUUAGAAUAUAUUUCACAGCCUUCUCUGAAUUCUCAUAUCUAAAUACAUGCAGGUAAUAAAACUACUAUAAAACAACAAUGACAUAGUUAAACAAAAAUGCCUGAUGGUUUUAUUCUUUUUUUAUCCUUCAUCUCUGGGAAGGAGAAACAUCGUAUAGGCACUUUAAUGAGAAAGCCCCACCUUGAAAGUAGAUGAGGCAACGUUUCCUGAAGCUUACAUCUUGGUCCCACCUUUCAGAACAAAUGAUUUUAAUUCACAAUGUCUUCAUCACUAAGGUCAUCUUUGUAAGAUCCCUCUGACAAGAAGCAAGUCUGCAACAUGAAAAAUAACUCCUGUGUCAUGGUUUUUCCCAGCCUAAAAGAAAUUCACACAUGAUUAGAAAUUAUUCUUUGUGGUAAAUGGCAGGAAAAAUACCUGGAAAGGUGGAAAUGAUCACAAAUAAAACAGCUGAAAGAAGAUGGUUAAUUGCUGAUUAAAUUUUGACAUUAGCUCUAUAGA
rnacentral:lncRNA from 10 species